AGAAGAACUCGUAGAGCGCGAGUUCCGGGGAAAAAAGAAAGCUCACUGAGA
rnacentral:sRNA from 12 species